rnacentral:rRNA from 1 species
GAUGAACGCUGGCGGCGUGCCUAAUACAUGCAAGUCGAGCGAACAGACGAGGAGCUUGCUCCUCUGACGUUAGCGGCGGACGGGUGAGUAACACGUGGAUAACCUACUAUAAGACUGGGAUAACUUCGGGAAACCGGAGCUAAUACCGGAUAAUAUAUUGAACCGCAUGGUUCAAUAGUGAAAGACGGUUUUGCUGUCACUUAUAGAUGGAUCCGCGCCGCAUUAGCUAGUUGGUAAGGUAACGGCUUACCAAGGCAACGAUGCGUAGCCGACCUGAGAGGGUGAUCGGCCACACUGGAACUGAGACACGGUCCAGACUCCUACGGGAGGCAGCAGUAGGGAAUCUUCCGCAAUGGGCGAAAGCCUGACGGAGCAACGCCGCGUGAGUGAUGAAGGUCUUCGGAUCGUAAAACUCUGUUAUUAGGGAAGAACAAAUGUGUAAGUAACUAUGCACGUCUUGACGGUACCUAAUCAGAAAGCCACGGCUAACUACGUG